CGUGUGGUUUUGGGGUACAGGUACACACGAGAGCGUACCGGCAGAGGACCGUGGUAAGGGCACAGCGCCCUAGUAGCUAGUAGCUUUCCUUAUGCAUUAGAAUACCCUCGUGUACAUAGAGAUGUAAAUGUAUUUGGAAGUUACUUAUGCAUUUGGAGAGUCAUUUUGUAUUAUGAGAAGAAUAUGUAUUCAUUUGGGAAGAUGAAAAUGUAAAUCAAUAUGAAAAAUGAGGUUGAAUGAAUGUAAUAGCUAGAUGUAUCUCUCUUUAUUUCACUUGUAUGUUACUUGUGAUUCUUGCUCUUAAUUGUAUAGCACUAGUGGUGCUUUGUCGUAUCAUGUAUGUUGAAUGAAUUUCUCCUGGGCAAAUUCUUGUACAUGAUAUUGUCGUUGAGCCUUGGGCGGACAGGAGAGGUGCUGUCCGUUCGGCGUCUGAUCGACGUGCCCGGAUCUGGCCAAAUUGGCGGGUCGCGGGGCGUGACAGAUGGUUGUGGUAUCAGAGCAAGCUAAAGAGCAAGUAAAGAGAUAGUCUAGGAUGACCUAGGAGACCCUAGGACAGUAAACCGUAAGGUUAUAGUUGCGUGAGUGGAACGUGAACUUAUAACGGUGGCGAAAGUUGAAUCGAUUGGGUCAAGAUAGUAAACCUCUAAGACGGAUGUUAGAGGUGGAUUCAAGGUUCAGUUUAUUCUCAGCCGAGGAUGUUCAUGUUGGAUGCAUACAACAUGAAACCGAGAGAUGAGAAUAGGCACCCUUGUAUGACUUUCGCCUGAUUUGAGUCGAGUCGAUGUUAGUUGUUAAGUGC
rnacentral:lncRNA from 1 species